GCCUUGGUGGUGUAGUGGUCAGCACGCUGGGCGCGUAUUCCAGAAGUCCGUGGGUUCGAGUCCCGAAGGCA
rnacentral:tRNA from 1 species